GUCAGGGCUGCCAACCAAGCAUACCUCACCCGUUGGACUAGUCGCCAUUGAAGCAAAGAUUGAGACGUUACAACGAUCCCGUAUCGAUCAUAUUACUCGAUACAUUAAUUUGGUAUUUGGCUAUAUCGCGGAGAUCAGCAACACGCGUAUACUCGCUCUUGUUUACAGAUACGCCAAUCGAGAUGCUGUAUCGAUAUUUUAAAGAUUAGGAUGGAAAGACGAGGACUCUAUCGCUUUUGUUAGCGUUGUGUAUUCCUUUCACGUUAGUCGAAAGUGAGAAAGUGAGUGAGAGAGAGAGAGAGAGAGAGAGAGAUUCUUUCGUUGUUUCCGAAGAGCAGACCGUUGACAGACAAUCGGUCAAAAAUAUUUUAUAUAGCGUAAAAUUGAUGUGCGAACACUUUUAUGAAUAAUAAUUGCAAGUCUGUCACGUUCAAGUUCUGUCUGUAUAAUUAAAUACUUCGUCCAUUUCUACAGUCAUAUUAAUCGAAGUUUCAUAGUUUCUCAUAAUCUAACUUUUGUUAUACGUUAAGGGGAAUCUAUGGAAUGGUUCUGUGUCGGAAUAAAUUAUCUUCAAAAUAGCACAGGGAAGUAGAAACUUGCGGCGUCUCUUGAUGAAAGACAACGCACUGUUCCAUGGAAACAAAAUAAUUAUGAUUUUAUAAAAUACGAAAGAAGAGAUUCCGGGACUCAAAAAGGCAGAAACGAUAUGCUUGCGUUUAUAACAUCUCCCUUUCCAAUUACCACAUUUUGAUGUAAAAGAUGUAAAGAAUAUAGUAGCAAGUUUUCAAUCCGAAAAUUAAAAAUCCUUUCCCGAAAAACAUGCUUUUUUUGGAGAUACGAUACGUACAACGAUAAGUACCAUUGGAAAAAAUUUUCUUUCGUAAAGGUAGGGUAUAAAUUAUUCGCAAAUACGAAAUAACAUUCCAAAACGUACAACGUAGAGCAGGAACUGUCUGCUCGCGUUAAAGAAAACUAACGGCUUAUCAAUCGUUCGUCAACCCCACAGUCUACCGUGGCUGAAACUCGUUUAAAGCGUUUAGCAACGAGAUUAGGUAAGCAGAUCUGGCUAAAACUUGCAUCUGAUUCGUGAAAUUAAAUAACAAACAAUAGAGAAAGAAAGAAAAUCAAUGAUACGAAUAUCGAGAUUGGCUGAAACAGAGACCCGUCGAAUAUACGAGAAAGAAAUUUAAUUAUAUUCAACGAGGUUAUCGUUAUAACAUUAUGCAAUUAUCACUUUAAUAUGCAUGAUCUGGUUCAGAAAUAACGAGAAUGCUUCCUACAUAACUCAAAUUGGUAGUUCUGACAAAAAACAAAUAAAUUGUUGCGAUCCGCGAACCUUAUUAAAGUAGCGGAUUAUGUACACUUUAAUUGGUUUCGCUAAUAUAGAAUAAUUACCAGAUAAGUAAUUACGUGUUUGGUGAGCAUGUCAUGAAAAUGCUGCAUCACGACGUUGCACCUGCUCUCGUUGUAUUAUCGUCCGACGAAGUUUUCGUAGCAAAGAAAAUUGCACGACCCAGUGCUGCAACUCCUUUAUUCUGCAGACCUCGGUGCCGCGGUUCUUCUUGUUCACCAAGAUAAGAAAUGAUCUUAACGUUACAAGUUUCCAGCCGGCUAGUUUCACAUCGACAAUGAACAAAAUAUGCUGUUUCUUGUUUCUACAUUUACUCGUUAUUUCUGGAUCGGAUCGCGGAUACGAGUUUCCGAUACUCUGAGAUUUAAGACCAGUUGUUAACGUUGCUGAUCCAUCUAAUAAUUUUUUAACGAUUAUUCCGAUUCAUCAAAUUUCUUGCGUGUAUACCAAUCAUGGCUCCUACAAUUCGAUAGAAUAGAUGCUAAAAUUAAAAAUUCGGUAUAAAAUUAUCUAAACUGAAUCGAGAGUAGAUCGCAGGAAUCUCACGAUGUGUCUGCGCGCGCUCUACCCGGGCAAACUUUUCUGGCGCCGUUUUAAAAAAGUUGGAAUAAUCCGAAGCUGGAAACGAGCUAAAGCGGAUGGGAAGGGGCAAGGGAAGGGGAGGCAGAGGAAAAAAGAAAAAGCUUCUUCGAUACGGAGAACGAGCCGAACGGUUCGGUGAAAAUGAAGCGGUGGCGGUGCUAUCGGACGGUGGCCACAUGGCGCGAUAUCGCGUACCCAACGAGUCAAAGUUUGGAAAUGGCAUGAAAGGUACGCGUACCCGUGGACCAGUCUGCCCGAUGAGACCGGAAGACGCUCCAGCGUUGCAUUCGACCGAUGUGCAUCGUGUGCAUCGAACGGAAAAACGCUGCGCUGCAGCUGUGUGUGGACGUGUGCGCGAUACUCGAAGAUACGGGGUCGUAACUGCUUAUGAAAGUUGGAGAGAGAACGCUGUAGCUUUGCGAGGUUUUUGCUACUCGAAGAGCAAGGGUCGAACGAACGGGGGUGGCAGUAAGCAACUGGCAGUGCGGGCACGAUAGGGGAAAGAGUUUGGGCCCGGCGGACCUAAGAAAACAGCUCGGUAGCUAUUAUGAUAAGAUAUUCACUGACAGAAACAGGAGAGGGAAGGAAUUUUCAAGUUGCAGCGUAGUCUUCGCAGCCGUAUCUAGAAUGUAAUAUAAGGAAACGUGGAGGAAAAUAGCGGAGGCAACGGAGCUGAGUGGCCAUGCGAACAGCGAACGACGAACGGUGAACGGGCGACCGGUGAGCUGCGAGGCUGAAAGGAAAAGGAAGAAAAAGGGGGUUCCAAGGAACCGGGAGAAAACGGAGGAAAGAGAAUGGAGCGGCGCGGGGAGAGCGGAUAGCUUCGAAGUGGGAGUCGCAGUCAGAACUGGAGUCGGAGCUGGAGUCGGAACUGGAGUCGUAUUCGGAGUCGGUGGCGUGGGUGCGUCUACAGCGACUUCACCCACGCCAGUUUCGCUGCCGCCGCUUUUAUUUUAUGGCAAAAUUAUUCUGGCAGAAAAAUAAUUCAAUCUCUGCCGCUGUACAGAUUACCGUAGCAUCUUAUCGAGUGAAGCUACCGCCGAAUAGCCGCGAUAGCAUGGUCCAGCUGUCGCGAAUGGAAUUCCACUUUGCGAUUUCAAUACACGCGCCAAUAGGAGGAUAAUUAGAGGCGACGGCGAUACGAAUACUUGGUAAAUGCAUAUUCGGAUCUGCCGUUGGCAGUGUACGCGCGAUACGUUACGGAGCCAAUCUUCCUCCGGCUCAUCGAUGUCAAAAAUGUUUUCCGAUUUCAAUCGCUAAGUACCUUGGAGUGCGUGGAAUCGGCGAUCUCGUAUCGCGGAAACGAAUGGACGCAACGAAAUAAAAUUAAUGAGGGCGGAACGAGGCGAAGCGCUCCGCUCCGUUUGAUUUUAACGUUUAUAUACCAUCGAUACGGUCGUUAUUUUUAUAUUUUGUCGAGCACAAGUACAACGUCGGGAGUAAACACGACAGGAUCGAUAGGCGGAUAUUCGCAAAUAAAGAAAGAAUGGAAAAGAGAUGUCGAGAGGAAAAAAAAGGCGGAUUUCCCGUCCGACAAUAAUAUCCAUGAAGCAGUUUUCUCGUGCCGUCGUAAAUUUGGAAAUUUUUCUAUGAUACUUGGAAAUGGAAGCGACGAAGGAGUAGCGAAAUAGAAGAGAAUGAGCUUUAAGGUCGAAUCGGAUCUAUCGCGUAGCGCGUGGGGAUGGGGAGCAUCGGCAGCGACAGGAUAAAAUAUCGCUCGACGUAUUUCAGAGAUCUUAGGGACUUGGUCGACGAACAUUGGACUGCAAUUGGUAACGGCACUCGACGAUACCAUGGCCUGUGGAGCUUUGUGCCCGCCAUGGUGCCCGUCACGACGAAUCGACGCGGCCGAAAGAAGAAUGUUUUUACGUGUCGUCGGUGCCCUCGCAUCGCUUACCGUGAAUAAAGAAUCGUGGAACCGUACAGAUGUUCCUUCGACGUAUUUCUCGUCGACGCGUCUCUCGCACCUAUCAUAAAAAUACAUAUCACCGAGCGUAUCACGAUACGUUUUCCACCUUCGACAAAUUACUCUCUUAUUUCGAGCCGGAGCUUGCUACCUUUGCCGGAAGAUACACCGUAAUCGUUCUCCGGUGGAAAGACAGUCUGAGAAAUGGUCGACACCGCCGGAACGAAAAUAUGAGCAACGCUUAAACGAAGAAGCGCAGGCCCGUGUCUUUCUUUUUCCUUUCGCCGCGAAAGGCUCCGGCUCCCGUACAAAAACCUUCACGAACAUCGUACGUCGAUACUUUACGUUUCCACGCGAUAUCGCGGUAACGUCCCGCUAUCGGGAGUUACGCGACCUUCGAAAAUGAAUAUUGUAUUUUCCUGUCAUCUUAUCGGAGACACGGUCGCUUCCAAUGGAAGAAGAUCCAAAAGUUGGAAACUGUUUGGAAUUUCUGCCUCGAUCGGUCCUUAUCGAUGCCAAUAAUGCUUCAUUUUCCAAGCGCGGGAUCCCAAUGAUAACGAAAAGUUGCAAAAUCGAUGUAUUUCGCGUGAAAUCGGUAAGAGUAGAUUGAAUCGGCCAUUAACGUUGAGGAUCCACGGCAAGGAAGAUUUUCCUCAAACGAGAGUUUAACAAAGUUCCAUGUUAUUACGAUAGAACAGCGAACUUUGAAUAUAAGAGGGAGUACAGAAGGAAGCUUGACUUUCAAGGGAAGGCAACUUCGCUUCCAAAAGAGCAAACAUCUCUCUGUUCCUUUUUCUCGAGGCAGAGCUCGGCAAAUUUUUAUCCCGGCGAAAGCAUUAAUUUGUGAAAAAAAAGAAAGAAAAAAAAAGAUAGUGAAAGAAGAAAAAAGAGAAGAGCCAAGUAUAGGAAUUUCGCGGCACGGUCGCGGCCUCCCCUUGCUCUAGCUCGCAUUUCAGGGAUAUUUAAGUUUCAUCGCGAAACUUUAGCGAGACGCUGCAUUUAUUAAAUCCUCCGGCAUAUUUGACGAGCAAAUCUGAGAAUUGUCGUGUCACUGUCGUCGUUCUCCUUCCGUCCGAAGUAAAAGAUGAAAAAAAAAGAAAUCGAGACGAGGGGGUAUCCGAAGAAUGAGCAAGAGAGAAAAAGAGAAGGGAACGAAAUGGCAGGACCAUUCAUUUAUUAAAGGGACGGUAUUAAUGUUUGAGCUAGUUACAUAGAUCGAGAAAAGUAAAACACGGCGACAACGUGGAUGGUCGUUGAUGUAUUCCGGUCGAGUAAAAGAUUACGUAUUACAUCUAUAGAAAAUCAAUCUCGUACUCGACUGCCGUUUUAAUUAAUCGCGCAUCAGUUCGACCAGUCGGCCGCUUUCAUAAUACAAUUUUUAAUCACGAUUCGCGAUGUAAUUCGAUCAAUUUAAUUACAUUUCCCGUGAUACAAUAUAAAUUCAGCGUGCCACGCGAUAGAUAAUAUUUGAUGCGUUAAUAUCACGAAAAGUAGGAAUCGACGUGUAAAAUGGAUCAGUGCGAGCCAACGAAUAAUAAAAGCUAUUACCGCGACGAUGGAUACACAAGGCGCAAUUAUAUAACCAUUACGAUUAAUAAAUGCGGCAUCGGCUCGCGAAAGGUGGGGCACCAUCUGCGUACCGCCCGUUUAAAGUCGCAAUCGACCUCGUUGCAACGCGUUUACGAUGCUUAUUAAAUUCAUUAGACGCGCGAGUUGCGCUCUCUACGGCUCCACGUACUCGUUCAAACGCGAAUCGUCGCCGUUUCUUUUAUUCCAAUCGUUUCGUUCGUAAUGCACGUCCUAUGCCGGUAGAGUCCAACAGCCAAAUAAAAAUCUUAAGGAAUGCUUUCAUUGUUUCUCGUUCUCGCCACGACCAACUGGCUGUCCAACUUUCGCGAGUUGUCUUCGAUUAUCGCCAACUUGGAUCUCACCUGUAGAAAGGAGAAGGCCAGUCUCUCGUACGCGAGUGACGCGACUCAUUCGGGAAGAAAGUUUUUCCGACAAAAGAUUUGUUAUACGCGUGAAUAAUAGUUAAAAAGUGGAUGCUGGAACGGUUCUUUUUUUUCUUUCUCGAGCACUGAACUCGUUAUCGGAGUUAGGUAACCAGCUACAUACAUACAUCUAUAUAUAUAUACAUGUAUAUAUAUAGUACCUAGCAAAGUGAAAUGGAGGCCAGGAGGUGGGAAACGGGGGAUGGAAAGUUAGCAUACGAAUGCCCAAUUGUGUUUGUGGACUGGUUCGUCGCUCUGAUUUACAUAGUUAUUAUGAUAUUAUGCAGAUGCAAAAAGAUUUUUAUCAUCGUAGCUGUCCUUGUCGUGGAAGGGAAAAGAAGGUAUAUAAGUUGUAUGACACGAGUUUUCUCUGUCGUCUGUCCGCGUGUGUGAUGCGUUGCCGCCGGCAUAAGCCAGCCUAAAGGUUGAAGCGCCGCUCGAACGGAGACGAUUCGAGAGAUCGCGCGGCUUGAAACAAUUGGGUUGCAGAAACUAAGUGGACCGCAAAUCGCGGAUUAAAGCACCGCGGCGUAGAAAUACAUUAAGGAUGCCUCUUUGCAUCGCGCGUAGUCACGAGAUCCGAGAUUGCUCUUGAUCCACUGAACUCGCGUUCCGUUGCACCGGAGGUUAUCGCGAACAGGAACCAAAACCGUAUUUCGCUGACGACGUAUGCGGAAAACCAAGCGGCGCCUCUGGAAUUGUACAAAAUUUCAAAGAGAACGGAAAUUAGUUCUCUACCUUCAACGUCGAUGUUAAUCUCAGAUUUUACGUGUUGCGCAGCUACGCUCCGGCUUCGCUACGUCGUAAAUUUCCUUUGCGUAUCUUAAUCGCAGUAAUUUUUCCCGUGCUUUGUAACCACCGUUGUAAUCUUCACCGGCUGGCCUUUCGUUUAAUUUUAUCCGCGUACUCGUAGACAAUUCCGCGCUAUCGAACGAUCGCCCUACUCCUCCGUGUCUAGAUGUUGCAGCUGAGCUCGAAUUCCGACCAACUUAACCAAUCGAUGAAUUUCGUUGUGCAAGAAACGCUUCUCUGAAACUUCAUUGUGCGUUGGAUCGUAACAGGCAAAACUAAAGCCGAUUACUAAAAUAACAGUCGAGUUUAGAAGGAGAGCGCACGAGAUUCAGCCGAACGAGUUCAUUCGCGGCUUCGUAUAGCGCUUCGAAUGUUACGUCAGCUCUCAGCUAGUGGAAAUCGUUAAAAUUUGUCGCCAAUGCAAGCAAAAUAUCGGCCAACGAAAAACAACGAAGAUGUCUUUCAACUUUUUCAUCAUCUCGCGUUAAUCUGCAUAUACAUGCCUUGUAACAACCUCAACGAUUACGCUCUUCGUCUUAUUUUCCUAACGAUUAUUAUGCAAGGAGUAUGCCACGUAAAUAUCGAGGCGGCUGGUGGAUGGGAUAAUGGGUAGGUGCGAGGCAUUUAUCAGGAGGGUAAAAAGGCGUUAAAGUCACCGCAGCAAAAAAAGGACGUAAACGACGCAAACUCGACGGCCACUUAAUAAAUAUUUGAUCAAUCCUGACGGAGCGUUGCCGGGACGCGGUGAACGCCCGACCGAACGGUUUCGGGUAUUCUCGGCGGACCAAACGGAACGAUACCAAAGCGGAUUAUCGAAACGCCAGUGGAAGUCGAAGGAAAAGUUGGUCGCUCUUUUACCCAGAUUCCAGGGACUUUAAAUUCUCACGGCUCGAAUCCUUGCCGAAACUUUUCUCCGCGAUGGAGCACCGUAAAUAUAUAACCCCCUUCCCUGCUCUCGCUUCAACGCGUUCAAAGUCGCAAGCUGUUACACCGCGCGGCACCCACCGGCACCCACCGGCACCCACCGGCACCCACCGACACCCACCGGCACCCACCUGCACCCAGCUGUCCCUUUCCCUCUCUGGAAUUGCCGCCCUGCCGGCGGACUUGCUCUCAUCUCGACCGUAAGAGUAGGAGGUAGUGGGCCGAGGCGUGCGACAGAACGAACCGGGAAGCUCCGUUCGACCCUCUCGGUCGCGUAGAAACGUCGAUGGCGUGGAGUCGCCGCCGCCACCACCGUCGCCUCUGUCGUCACCGACUACGCCGCGAUAAUUCCAUUUCCACGAAGCGGCGCGAAUUCGUACUUUAAUUAAUCGAAUUCGCGCCCAUGUCCCUGGGACCUGUCCGCCUCACCGCGGCUGCCAACCAACUACCCUCCACCACCUUUCGCAACCCUUCCUCCUUCUAGGACAAGUUUCGAUCCCGGAAAUUAGUAAGAUCGCACAUGCGGAACACGAAGGUUUCCUAACUGCACGCUGCACAUCCACUCAGCCGCCCGACCACUCGCGCCUCGUAUACGUGCACAUACUUUAAGCUUGCACGCGCGCUCACAGGCGCGAACCAGAGCAGCUGGGGACGCGCAUUAUGCGCUCGCGAUUCGCGUCACGCUCCCUUAAUAUGUCGCAGCUAGAUGCUCUCCAUCCUUGCCAGCGGAAAAAAGGUUUAUUAAAGUCGAGCCAGGGAAAUUUGCAACUAAAUACCGUAUAUAUAUGUUAUAUAUAUAUAUACAUAUAUAUAAUGUACGUACGUACGUGGCACGACAAACGUGAUUCAACUUUAGCAGAUUGAAAUAUCGCGACCGGUUUUACCAGGGAUCGGAACCACGGAAAUAUUAGCGCGUUCCGAGCCGUUGAAUCGUUUUCAAUGGAACGAAAAUGGGGUGGAGCGAAGAAUGAUGCCUAGGGGGUGGUUGAACGAAGUGGAAGGUGUGGGAACAGGCAGCCUUCGCGAGGGCGCUCAUCCGAAAAUCUAAUUUCGGCGUAUUCCACUUCCGACUAAGUUGUCCUCAAGUUUUCGGACGUUCGGGUCGCUUCGAAAAAUAACCGCGGGAGCCGUGCAAUUUGCAAUUAACCAAGUCGAACGAAGAAGCCGUUGAGAAAACAAAAGAAGCGGAACUCGCGCGUGUUACGUUAGGACGCGCUUAAGGUUUCCAGGUUGUUGCGCCAACUUUCGAAACUAUUUUAGCAACGAACGCGGUACACCGAGUAAGAUCAGCCGCAGCGUUCACGCGCAAACACGAAAUUGCGUUUAAAACUUUGGCCCCUUUACUCCCGCAUGUUCACCGGAAUAGCGUGCAUUUCACACGCGUCAUCGUACGCGUAGCACGAUUAUUCCAUUCACGCCUUCUUCGUCCUCUGAUACGAGCCUGCGUGCCGCACGUAUGACCGUAGCGGCACGUGUCCUUAAAGCUCGAAGCGCGAGCAGAUUACAUCUAAUAUGCGAGCCAAGCGUCGGAACCUUGUCUGCCAAACUAUCCUUUCCUCGAUGAAGGCUCACGCGUAUCGUGACUCCCACUGUGCGCAUACCUGGCGCGCGUGGUCACGUGCGUCUGCAUUACCGGCUGGUAAUUAACGUCAAUCUCGUGCUCUUGCAGCGCGUUUCUCCGGGCGUUGUAACCUCCACCUCCUAGGCGCCAUCCUAACGCAAACCACGCGGAUGUUUGCGAUAUUAGGCGGCGUCAGGUAUGGGGACGAGAGCGCGUUGCUUAUACUUUGACGGUUUAAUUAGGAGUUUCGAGCGAGAUAAGCGGCCCAUCGUCAUCGACGAUAAUCGAGAAAGAACGAUUGACCGGUGACCUCCGACUCGAUCAAUCGUUCGUUCGUUGCUCCAACCGAAUAUUUUUUAAUAACCAGCGUACCUCGUCAGUGAAGUAGCCGAUUCUUGGAAACGGCGAACUUGACUUUGUAGCGGAGUUACGACAAGUUGGAGAAGAGAGGUUGUAGACGGUGGCGACGAUAGAACCGUGAAAUUUCAGAGGAGCGACGUUCCGAUGGAUUAACGGAGAGCUUUAUUAAUCGGUUAACCUCUUACAAUUUAUCUUUCCGAAGAAGCGAGUUUAAGUUUUCGCAGCGGGUCUCGGGAACUGCUGGAAAAGCGUUUACUCGUGUCGAUAUACAUCGCGAACAAGUUAAAGCCUGCCUGCGCGCUUUCUCGCGAAUCAACUUAGUUGCUGAUAAUAAAUAUCAUUAGGAUGACUCGACGGAACGAUAUUUUUCAAAGCGACCGCCAGAUAUGCUGGAACCCCGAGAGCUUGGUGUCCCCGAUCGAUUCAUUUGUCAGGAAUUUACCAAGGAACCUGUGGGUCUUCGGAAACGAGCGGUUCGACCCGGAAAAAAGGACCUACGUCGGUUUCGAGCUUUCGUAGAUACCGUUUUUACCUCGCCGUCCCAUUGUUCUUACGCGAACUUCGACAUCGAUUCCAUUACGAUCACGCUGGUGAAAUGGUCGUUCGGUUUCGAUGGACAAUUUGACAAAUCGUCGGAACGAUCCUACCGCGGCGGUGAUCGAUUCUGUUGGAGGGUAAAAGUAUCUAACGGGAAACCGAGUCGAAUCGUUUCGGAUCUAGCCGAGGCCAGACGAGCGAAGGAGGAAGCGGCACUAUGUCAGGGAAAUGAACGCGUUAGUCACGCGUUGCACGCUGCGCCCUGGGGGUCACUUCGCAUUCAUAACCAGGUCCGUGGCAUUCUGAUGCUUGCGGGAUAAGAUCGGCAGCGAAGGAGCGCGCACGCGCGGCAACCGCUUAAGCGGUAAACUUGAAAAACUUGGUGAAGUAACCGGCGCGGGCCCGGCCAGAGAGAGAAAAGAGCUAGUGGGGUAGUCGAGGCAAGCCGAGUGGAGCUACUUCAACUUCAGGGACAUUCACCACCAUCGUUGUCGUCGUCGUCGUCGUCGUCGUCGUCGUCGUUCGCGACCGCCCCUCCUUUUCUUCUUCCAGCGAGCCUUCGUCGCUUUACGCGCCAGCCUUGGGAACAAACUUUGUCGUUUUCCGCUAUUUUCGAUGGUCUCGCGCGUCAAUGAGCCCAACGCGAGGCGGCUCCGGGACACGAAACUCGGGCAGUUUCGUGCCAACGAAAGGGAACUCGACAACCGUUUUGCACACUCUGGGUAGAUCUUGCGGAAGAUCCCCGAGAGUUAGUCAGACCUUCUUUGUAUUCACCGAUGAAUCUUCUUUCUUAUCGCGUCUUAUUCUCUCUCGCUGUAUCGCGUUAUCAAUUUCAAUUACGUAAGCAGCCUUCAUGGUUAACGUCGAAACUGUCGUAGCAGUGGAAAUUUAUAAUUUUUCACGCAAGUUUCAGAUUAGAUUUACCACAGUACGCUUAUGGGAAUUUGAAUAAUUUCUUGCGAAAUAUAUGCAUAAAAGUUUAUUUUGCAUUAUAUACGUACGGCCUCGUUCGCUAUUACGCCACUGUGCAUAAGUGUUUGGAAAUCUGAUUUAAUUCGAUCAACGUGUCUCUGCCGUUAGUUCUUUAGCUCUUGCUGUAACUGGAUUCGACGUUGCUGAAUUUAAUACCAGACAUCUUCCAUAUUUCCAUAUUAUCGCCCAAGUUUUAUAUUUAUCUCUGAUAAAUGGUCGACGCUUUGCAAAAUCUACGCAAAUAUUUGAAACACGAAUAGACAAAUACGCGUAUUUCGAUCGCUUUAACGUACUAAAUGUCGAACAAAUACACGUAAUAUCACUCGAUUCUAUCGAUAGAGAAUAUUUGGUUCGAGUUAAACGAUUUACGGCCUAAUUCCUCAAAUUCAGUUACGAACAAUUUUUCGGCGAUUUAUUUUUCCAAACGGCCUAUUUGACUCCUUAGCAGCACUUUGCUGUUUGACGUCAUUGUGGACAUAAUAAACGAAAAGCGAAACGCACAAUGACAGCUCGACGGCCGUACUUUUCUGCCAAGAUCAAACUUUUACUAUAGUUAAAAGAUAAGAGGUUUUGUUCGACUAAUGUUAAUAUUUUUAGUGGUAAUUAUAAUUCAAUAGCGCGAUUGUAUUACUUUUGCCUGCAACAUAUUUUGUUGUUUAUUCUAUAGCUUUUUAUACAACAUCCUCCUCCCGUUAAUUACAAACAACGCGCGUGUAGUAGCAGGUAAUUUUACCUUAACCAUAAACGUAUUUUAAUAUAGCCUCGCCAAAUCGUUAAAGGAAAUAAUUAUAUCAUAUUAUCUGUUGAUUCUACAUCAGUUUUAC